UCCGGUGUGGUGUAGUGGCUAUCAUACUGCGCUUUCAUGGCUGUGCCUGGAGACCCGCAGGGAUCGGGGUUCGAUUCCCCGCAUCGGAG